CUUCCCCCUGCUUCUAUUCUCAGGACAUCGUUCUUUCAGACUGACCUGCUGUCAGAUUGUGAUCAGUGCAGGGGAAAGCAGGGAUCUCCCCCUCCCCCUCUGCUUCUUCUCGGGACAUUGGGACAUCGUUCUUGCUCUUAUAAACACUGAGCUGGCUGUCAGAUGCUUCCAUGCCGAGGAGAUGAAGACGCUUGCUCAGCUCACUGGGGCUUCUAUGAUUGGCUGAAGCUGCACAUGAGAGGUUCCCUUGCCGUGCACAGAGCUGGCUAAGCUGCAGAACUAUGGGAAAUUGUGACAUCACGGCCCCCAGCAUAAUGCAGCUCAAUGGGGGGGGGUCGCAAGUCAUCAGAACAGGGAGCUGCUGAACUUCCUCUCUGAACAAAGAAGCUAGAAAAACAGGUUUUACUUACAAGAUGGGUAAAGUUAGGGAAACAGAUGACAGCCUCUCUGACUUCCCACAUGCGACAAAGGAGUACAGUGCAUAAUAGCUUGUGCCAUUGUCCCCUUAUAGCCAACGGCCAUCGCCUGGAGUAUGUGCCCCGAGUCCGGUUCCAUCACUUUCCUGGAGUCAAGUAGGGGGCUUGGGCAGCUAAGAGUUAAUUCCCCCUCUCCUUUUUGGACCAGGGACCAGUUCCUCUCACGCAGAUCUCCAUCGUCGCUCAUCGCCCGCAGCCUCCGACCGAUGGGACGGCAAGUAGAUUGGCGGCUAGGACCUCACCGUACAACAUUAAUCACUUUUUCCAUCAUUAUUGUUGAAAUGAGGGUUCACCAGUCAGUCAGUCAGUCACGAAU